AGCGAACGCUGGCGGCAGGCUUAACACAUGCAAGUCGAGCGGGCGUAGCAAUACGUCAGCGGCAGACGGGUGAGUAACGCGUGGGAACGUACCUUUUGGUUCGGAACAACACAGGGAAACUUGUGCUAAUACCGGAUAAGCCCUUACGGGGAAAGAUUUAUCGCCGAAAGAUCGGCCCGCGUCUGAUUAGCUAGUUGGUGAGGUAACGGCUCACCAAGGCGACGAUCAGUAGCUGGUCUGAGAGGAUGAUCAGCCACAUUGGGACUGAGACACGGCCCAAACUCCUACGGGAGGCAGCAGUGGGGAAUAUUGGACAAUGGGCGCAAGCCUGAUCCAGCCAUGCCGCGUGAGUGAUGAAGGCCCUAGGGUUGUAAAGCUCUUUUGUGCGGGAAGAUAAUGACGGUACCGCAAGAAUAAGCCCCGGCUAACUUCGUGCCAGCAGCCGCGGUAACAC
rnacentral:rRNA from 1 species